rnacentral:rRNA from 1 species
UACGUAGGGUGCGAGCGUUAAUCGGAUUUACUGGGCGUAAAGCGUGCGCAGGCGGCCCGUUAAGACAGGUGUGAAAUCCCUGGGCUCAACCUAGGAAUUGCGCUUGUGACUGGCGGGCUCGAGUACGGUAGAGGGGGGUGGAAUUCCUGGUGUAGCAGUGAAAUGCGCAGAGAUCAGGAGGAACACCGAUGGCGAAGGCAGCCCCCUGGGCCUGUACUGACGCUGAUGCACGAAAGCGUGGGGAGCAAACAGG